UCCUAGGGAUCAUAGCUUAGUGGUAGAGCAUCUUCUCUGCAUGCAGAAAAUCUCUGGUUCAAUCCCUGUCAUGAAGGCA